rnacentral:rRNA from 1 species
GAUGAACGCUGGCGGCGUGCCUAAUACAUGCAAGUCGAGCGAACGGACGAGAAGCUUGCUUCUCUGAUGUUAGCGGCGGACGGGUGAGUAACACGUGGAUAACCUACCUAUAAGACUGGGAUAACUUCGGGAAACCGGAGCUAAUACCGGAUAAUAUUUUGAACCGCAUGGUUCAAAAGUGAAAGACGGUCUUGCUGUCACUUAUAGAUGGAUCCGCGCUGCAUUAGCUAGUUGGUAAGGUAACGGCUUACCAAGGCAACGAUGCAUAGCCGACCUGAGAGGGUGAUCGGCCACACUGGAACUGAGACACGGUCCAGACUCCGACGGGAGGCAGCAGUAGGGAAUCUUACGCAAUGGGCGAAAGCCUGACGGAGCAACGCCGCGUGAGUGAUGAAGGUCUUCGGAUCGUAAAACUCUGUUAUUAGGGAAGAACAUAUGUGUAAGUAACUGUGCACAUCUUGACGGUACCUAAUCAGAAAGCCACGGCUAACUACGUG